GUAUUAAAUACAGUAACAUAAGCCUAAGAUCGAAAAAGAAGUAGAAAAAGAAUCUCAAUUGCAAUUCCCUCCUUAACACGACAUUGCAGAUCCUCCCAAGGCCCCGCCAAUUGUUUGCACUCUCCGACGCGCACAGAAACAGCCUCUUGGACUCCAUGAUACUGCUGCAAUCUCAUUCCAGAUUUCUCCUUCAGACCCUGCUGAAUCGAGUUCAGAAUCUUGAGAAAGGAGUUGAAUUCGAUAACCAUUGGGUUGAGUUUGAUGAUGUUCGUUACCAUAUUCAGGUUUCAUUGAAGAAUCCACACAUUUUGCUGCUGUCAGUGUCAUUACCCACUCCUCCUCCAGAGGCCAUCUUCUUUGGUGGACUUCCUUCCGGAGCUAUUGAAGCUAUAAAAGCUGCAUACGGUGUGAUUGUUCAAAUUCUUGAUCCUCCAAGGGAUGGAUUUAACCUCACACUGAAACUGAACUUAUCCAAACUUCCUCCAGAUGAAGGGUACAAACAUGCUCUUCUGGUAAAGAUUGCAUCUAUAAGGGAAACAGUACUUGGUGCUCCAUUGAGAGUAAUUCUAAAGCAACUUGCAGCAAGGACUGCUGCUUCUAAUAUGGAUCGGCGUUUUGCCAUUGUGCAUCGUCCAAAUGAGUCCUUUUUCCUUGUUCCUCAGGUAGGAAAGGUGACGGUGAUGUUUCCUAUGAGAUUUAAGGACUCCGUAGAUAUUGUUCUUGCCACUUCCUUCCUGCAGGAGUUUGUGGAAGCAAGGCGUACAGCUGGACUUAAUAAUGCCCCUUCUUGUAUGUGGUCUCCAUCUCCUCCUUUAGAACUGAAGGGAGCACCUGCUGAAACAUUAUCGGCAAAUGCAGGAUUUGUUACAUUUGUUAUCUACCCGCGUCAUGUAGAAGGCAAAAGGCUGGACCGUACAGUUUGGAGUUUAUCUACCUUUCACGCUUAUGUUAGUUAUCAUGUUAAAUGCUCAGAGGGCUUCAUGCAUACAAGGAUGCGGCGUCGUGUGGAGUCUUUGAUUCAGGCUUAAUGAGAGCAUGUUGACUAUGUUUACCGUUGUGGUAGGCCUGGGUUCAUUCAUGUUGGGGAUGUGUGACACCUUCAUGGGGAGGGUUUGUGGCCUCUUAGAAAUAGAAGAUGCAUAGAGCUAUAGAGAUGGUUUGGGUAGGCCUGAAAGGCUCUGGAUCGUGCCAAGCCCGAGUUGGAGAAGUCAAAGAAAACAAUGCUAAGCAGAUCCUUCAAACGAAUGAGCCUCAAAGAAGGUAGGAUCAAUUCAGAUUCAUAAAGCCUUACUGGGUAGAAGACGGAUGCUCAUGUUUGAGCUCCAAGAAGCCCAUCUUCCAAGGCAUUGUUUGCGCCAUGCAGGGAAGACACCCUCAAGUGCUCUUGUUUUAUUUAGUUAUGAAAAAAAAGGAUAUCAGAGAAAACAUAUUUAUUCAGUUGCUAAUACGUUACAAUUUUGUUUGUGGUUUCGUACUUUCAUUGAACGUGAAGUGAACUGUGCUGUUUUAUUUAGGUCAGUUUUGAGGUCUAUAUAAGUAUUUUCUUCCUGGUUUGAAACA